AUUGAACGCUGGCGGCAUGCUUUACACAUGCAAGUCGAACGGCAGCGCGGGCUUCGGCCUGGCGGCGAGUGGCGAACGGGUGAGUAAUACAUCGGAACGUGCCCAGUAGUGGGGGAUAGCUCGGCGAAAGCCGGAUUAAUACCGCAUACGACCUGAGGGUGAAAGCGGGGGAUCUUCGUACCUCGCGCUAUUGGAGCGGCCGAUGGCAGAUUAGCUAGUUGGUGGGGUAAAGGCCUACCAAGGCGACGAUCUGUAGCUGGUCUGAGAGGACGACCAGCCACACUGGGACUGAGACACGGCCCAGACUCCUACGGGAGGCAGCAGUGGGGAAUUUUGGACAAUGGGCGAAAGCCUGAUCCAGCAAUGCCGCGUGUGUGAUGAAGGCCUUCGGGUUGUAAAGCACUUUUGGCGGGAACGAAAAGGACUGUGCAAAUACCACGGUUCGAUGACGGUACCCGCAGAAUAAGCACCGGCUAACUACGUG
rnacentral:rRNA from 1 species